UCUGGGUAGAGCGAGGCUGUGUUCAGUUGGCACCAAACGUGGGUGUUUUGAAAAGGAGUGAAAGGCAGAAGAACUACUCCCACACAAUAAUACGACUCAGAUCCCUGUGGGUACAGACCUUUGUUGCAGCCAAGCAGUAACCCAUCUGAUUUCACAAACUGAUAUUAGUCCUUAACACUAGAACCGCUGGGCCUCGAGGAGGACCCCCCUCAAGCUAAUGAGCAGUAAUUCUGACUGCCACAUUCUGACAUUGUAAUUAAUACAUUUUAUAUAUGCUAUCAAAAAGUAAUAAUUUGGUUGUUUAUGAAGGUCUUAGGUAACAUUAGAAUAUGUUUUUAUAUAACACAAUAUCAUUUUAAUUAGUUUAGUGUUUUAGGCUCUAUGUAAAAACGCAACACAAAUUUAAGUGUUCGGUCCAUUUUAUUCGUGGAGUUAUGUUACAACUAUGAAACAGAAGGCCUAUGUGUUGAGACGAGGUAACAACUUGUUUUAAUAACAUCUAAAUAUAUCAGUAGCCUAAACAUACGUGCCAAGUGUGCUUGAUAAAUACUGAAUAUUGUCACAAAGCAAUAAUAGCAUGUUAACUUUCUCAGUAUGAAAGCAGUCCAAAAUUGUAACUUGUUAGCUCGCGCUUACAUGGUGUCACAUAAACAACGAGACGUUGCUGAUAUUGUUUUUUGCUUGUGGUGUAGGGUCUGCUCUCUGAUGACAUUUUGUGCUGAGAUUGUCACAGUCUUAUUUUAUCGACACGGUGCUGUCCUCUCCUGUCUCAGUUUCAUUUGGUGGUGCCUCGGACACCUUCUCAGGGUGCACCGUUCAGACUUUUUUACGCUUAAGCCUCAGGGGUUCAGGUUGAGGCCCAGAAGAAUAAUCAUCAGAGAUGUCAUGAUUCAUUUCUUCCCCGCCAUUGGAGUAAUUUUCAUUCAGAUUUUGUAGCAACGCUAACGCAGCAUGUGCAUCCAUUCGUCUUGGUCCAUUACCCACGCUUUCACUGUGUACUCCAAGUAGGCCAGAGUGGACUGAUAAGACUGUGAUUUGGUGGACUAAUAUAGGGGACAUAUCAUUUAGAUAUUAUAAACAGUAGAUAAAUACAGUAGAAUGGCCUGCCCUGUUUUUCACUGACAAUUGGUGAUUACAUAAUUAUGCAUUGUUCGCUUCCCUGCGCUCAUCCACUCUUCUCCCAACUGGGCACAGCACCUUCAAUGCUCGGGAGAAGUAGAGGCAACGGGGAAAAACCCACAAACUUAAAUGACAUACCCUCCUAAAACUGGUUAUAACUCAGGUUCUGUUUGCGAUAUUAAGAUUCUAGCGACAGUGUGUUGUAGAACCUUUUAGGAAAUGUCAAGUACGGAGGGGACAUGAUGGCAUAGUAAUAAUUUUAUUUAAAUUGGUGGGCAGUCCAAAUUACUGCUUUAGCAGUUCUAGUGAUGACUGAUACAAAUGACAGAACCCACACGGGCCUUCUGUAAGACAGUAUUGUUCUCGCUUAAAAAAUAUAAACUUACCAGUCGUUUAUUGUUAACAUAAGUGACCCCCUUCUCUAUUUGACAGGAAUUUUCCCCCUCAGGCUGUCAGAGGUAGAAUCCUGCAUCGGGUCGGAUACCCAUGGCUACAUAUCGGUGAACCGCAAAAAUAUCAACUUGUGGAUGAAAUGAACAUUCUGUCAACAUGUGGAUUGGGUCGUGGUUCAGAACAAUUACAUUGUGGGCUGAAAACAUUUCAAAUCAAGACGAUACACUUUUUUAAAAACCCAUGAGCUUAUUGGGUUGAGACAAGGCAGACAAGGCUUUCAGCCAUGCACGCUUUGAGUGUGUGUGGAGCUGGGAACUGUCCCUUAUUUGUGUAGUGCCAAAAAAUUCUAAUUUGUCCACAUGCAGAGAUCAUGUUCCCUCUCCUCACGUGAGAAUAGGCUAUAUAACGUGUAAACCAAUACGGCUGUUAAGUUUGAUAAGCCUACUAAGUAAAUGUAGUCUAUUUUUGUAGCCUAUAUUUGGUUCUGGGAAUGGUUUAAUUAGACCUAAACUAUUUGAUCAUCUAAACAAUAUUUAAUCUAAAGGUAUUGUUUUAGGACAGCUAUUGGCUUUCAUCACAGUUAAGGCUAAUUAGAAGGCUCUUUCAGUGGUUUAAGUGACUUGUUGCAUUGUGAAAAUGAAAUUUUUUCUUAA